CAGCUACAUUAAAUUGUGUCAUAAUUCAGACUGUCCAUUUGAUGUUGGAUAAAAAAUAUGUUAGCUAUAGGUACUAUAUAGUUCUAUAACAAAUAAGUCUAUAUUAGUACUUUGGCAUUAAGAAACAUGAAUACAAAUUGUGUAUGUCAUUAUACCUAAGCAUUUGGGUAAACUGACAUGGUGAGUAUAAUUUUUUUUUAAAUUGAAUUUUAAUCCUAAAUUUAUUUAAUUUAUUACUUGACUGCAGACAUGUAUGCAUAGUAUUAGCAUUGAUUAUAGAUAAGUCUAUAAUCAAUGGUACAUAUUAGUACAAAUAUGCACAUAUAUUUGUGAGGUGUUAACUACAUUUCUUUAUUAUAUGUCUAUGUUCAAAAAUAGUAUGUCAUAUUGCCAAUCUCCCUAAUAAUAAUAUUAUUAGCACAACUAGGGUAAAAUUAUUUGGAGUGCUAUGCAACCUAAUUUAUACAAUCAAUAAUCGUAUAUACUAGACACUAGAUUUAUUUUUAUAGAUAUACAAAUUUCAACCCAGAAAUGGUGAAUAACUGGUUAUCCACUUUUAAAACCAGGUAUUUUCUGGGAAAACAUCAAAAUGGUUGGUGAAAGGGUGAAUGUAGAAAGGUCAGUUACCCUGGCACCACAAUAGAAAACUGUUGACUUCAAAAAACUGACUGGUAUUAUGUAAUAUAUUAUUUAUCAAUUUGUAACCGCAAAAAAAAAUGUUGUUACUGCUCUAGAACGCCAGAAAAUCAAUUUUUUUUCUAGUGGUGUCAGGGUAUUAAUAUUAAAUACAAAUUUUAUAAAAGAUAUCACAAGAUACAAAUACAUACAUUGAUAAAUUUUGUUUAGACCACCAAACAUAUAGUUUAUUCAACUAAACAAAAGACUAGAGAAUUGAGAUGUUAAUAAACAUCUACGUCUAUUUCCAUCCCAAAUUGGUAACAUAUUAGACAAGUUCGCAGAUAAUACCUAUAAAAGUUAAGCAUUAUUUAUAAAUACAAUUGUUCUACAAUUUACCAUUGUUGUAUAAUGGUACAAGCCAUAAGGCAAAUUACUUUCAAAUCUUUGUAUAGAACAAUUAAAUUAAAUUUGUUAUAGAUUCUGUCAUUCAUGUUUAAAGUUUUUUAAUUAUAAAUUAAGAAUUCUAUGCAACAAGAUAUGAAAUUGUAUUAAGUGUACUCAUGUCAGGACCAUUAAUACGGGUGUGGUAAACCGACAACAUUCCUAUGCAACAAUAAAUGAUAGAUGUUCAUGAGCCAAAAGGAAAAUGUGUCUAGGUAGGGACGACAUGCCACCAGUAGACAGUAGGCAGCGUCCACCACCAUCUAGGCCUGAUUAAGGCGACAACCAUAUAUGAGGAGACCAGAAUCAUCACCAGGGGCUGAACUUGAACUCAAUCAGGAGUUUAGACAAUUACACCACCAUCAACACACGAGGAGGAGCACCGUCACCUCGACGCCAACCUGUUCAGUCAUUUCUUUAGUGUACUUAUACCUGAUAAUUACAAGUAAGUUUUGACCCAGGUCUGGUGUUGUAGGGUUUUCACUUAUAGAUACAACUUGUCAACCGUG